rnacentral:rRNA from 1 species
GACAGAGGGUGCAAACGUUGUUCGGAGUUACUGGGCGUAAAGGGUGUGUAGGCGGUUCUUUAAGUUUGGUGUGAAAUCUCCCGGCUCAACUGGGAGGGUGCGCCGAAUACUGAGGGACUAGAGUACGGGAGAGGAAAGUGGAAUUCCUGGUGUAGCGGUGAAAUGCGUAGAUAUCAGGAGGAACACCGGUGGUGUAGACGGCUUUCUGGACCGUAACUGACGCUGAAACACGAAAGCGUGGGUAGCAAACAGG